GACGAACGCUGGCGGCGUGCUUAACACAUGCAAGUCGAGCGGUAAGGCCCUUUCGGGGGUACACGAGCGGCGAACGGGUGAGUAACACGUGGGUGACCUGCCCUCAGCUCUGGGAUAAGCCUGGGAAACCGGGUCUAAUACCGGAUAUGACUCCAUGACGCAUGUUGUGGGGUGGAAAGCCUUGUGCGGCUGAGGAUGGGCCCGCGGCCUAUCAGCUUGUUGGUGGGGUGAUGGCCUACCAAGGCGACGACGGGUAGCCGGCCUGAGAGGGCGACCGGCCACACUGGGACUGAGACACGGCCCAGACUCCUACGGGAGGCAGCAGUGGGGAAUCUUGCGCAAUGGGCGAAAGCCUGACGCAGCGACGCCGCGUGAGGGAUGACGGUCUUCGGGUUGUAACCUCUUCAGCUCCGACGAAGCGAGAGUGACGGUAGGAGCG
rnacentral:rRNA from 1 species